rnacentral:rRNA from 1 species
CCUACGGGAGGCUGCAGUCGAGAAUCAUUCACAAUGGGGGAAACCCUGAUGGUGCGACGCCGCGUGGGGGAAUGAAGGUCUUCGGAUUGUAAACCCCUGUCAUGUGGGAGCAAAUUAAAAAGAUAGUACCACAAGAGGAAGAGACGGCUAACUCUGUGCCAGCAGCCGCGGUAAUACGGAGGUCUCAAGCGUUGUUCGGAAUCACGGGGCGUAAAGGGUGCGUAGGCUGUUUCGUAAGUCGCGUGUGAAAGGCGCGGGCUCAACCCGCGGACGGCACAUGAUACUGCGAGACUAGAGUAUGUGAGGGGGAACCGGAAUUCUCGGUGUAGCAGUGAAAUGCGUAGAUAUCGAGAGGAACACUCGUGGCGAAGGCGGGUUCCUGGAAAUUAACUGACGCUGAGGCACGAAGGCCAGGGGAGCGAAAGGGAUUAGAUACCCUAGUAGUC